rnacentral:rRNA from 1 species
AUUGAACGCUGGCGGCAUGCUUUACACAUGCAAGUCGAACGGUAACAGGCCUUCGGGUGCUGACGAGUGGCGAACGGGUGAGUAAUGCAUCGGAACGUACCCAGAGGUGGGGGAUAACGCAGCGAAAGCUGUGCUAAUACCGCAUGUGAUCUGAGGAUGAAAGCGGGGGACCGAGCAGCAAUGUUUGGCCUCGCGCCUUUGGAGCGGCCGAUGUCGGAUUAGCUAGUUGGUGGGGUAAAGGCCUACCAAGGCGACGAUCCGUAGCUGGUCUGAGAGGACGACCAGCAAAACGGGAAUUGAGCAACGGCCAAGCCUCCUACGGGAGGCAGCGUUGGGGAAUUUUGGACAAGGGGGGCAAGCCUGAUCAAGCAAUGCGGCGGGCGGGAAGAAGGCCUUCGGGUGGUAAACCGCUUUGGCAGGAACGAAACGGUGUCCGCUAAUACCGGGCGCUAAUGACGGUACCUGCAGAAUAAGCACCGGCUAACUACGUG